UAUUUUCCUUUUAUCUUCUGUAAUCAACUUUGUGUCAUAACCUUCUUCUUCACACCUCACACUCUUUUUCAUAGGCCUCCUUACCUCUACAGUUUCUUUAUAUCCUAUUGAACAGGGAAUAGAGAACAUUAUUCAGCCACCUCUUAUGGUGACAACUCAUAUUCAGGAUAAACCCAUUGCAAUCUGUAGAUUUGCAAUAUAAACUAGUUUCCCAUCUACCAUUAUCAGGGAAAAUAACCAAGUCAGGGAAGUUAACACUUGUGGUAUAAGUGCAUUGAGCUGGACUCAAAUAUGAAUUUCACAACAUUCACUGUUCUAUUAGCCAAUGAUGUGCAGUAAGUUGAUCUCCUGAUUGGUAGAGGGUCUGAUCAGCAGAUGAUGAGGGAGACCGUUGAUGACAUCAUGCUGAAUUGAAGGAAAACUGCUGUUGGUUGGAGUUGGUUGGCAGGCACAGCAGAUCUCAAAAAAAGACGUUGUGGAAAGAGUUGGGCAAUCAGGACAAAAUCUUGCUGGCUGCAAAACAAGCUCUUCCUCUCUGUCUGAAAGGGCUGGAUUUUCUAGAAGGAGCAAGAAGAUUGAUCUUUCAAUUUUUUAGAAUGUUGAUUAAACCGAGCAGAAAGAAAGAAGAGGCCUUUGACUGCAAUGGAAACUAUAGACUGGGCCAUUCUUAUCAGUGUUGGAAUAGAGGGCAAACAUGGAAAAGAAAGUUCCAAAGAUCUAAAAAGAAGUUCAGAGCACAGCGAAUGAGGAGAGUGUACCGUAGGAAUAGAAACUGGCAUUACCGGAGGUUUCAACGUCAAAUUACAGUAAUUAAAAUUCUGCUCUAAAUACCCUGAAGAUGAGACAUAAGCAGAAACACCCAGCAAGCAUGCAACAGUGCAUAUAGGACAGCAUUGGCAAAAUGCAUAAAAAAUGUUGUUUAAUAAAAGCAAUUAUAACAAGCAA